rnacentral:miRNA from 1 species
GGACAGUGACACAGUCCCUGCCCUCAAGGAGCCUCUGUCCAGUGGGGAGAGCCACAUGAGCACAAGGAGGGUUACAGAGGCUCAGGAACAGGCUGCUUAUGGGGACACCUGUCUA